UACGUAGGGUGCGAGCGUUGUCCGGAAUUAUUGGGCGUAAAGAGCUCGUAGGCGGUUUGUCGCGUCGGCCGUGAAAACUUGGGGCUUAACUCCAAGCUUGCGGUCGAUACGGGCAGACUUGAGUUCGGCAGGGGAGACUGGAAUUCCUGGUGUAGCGGUGAAAUGCGCAGAUAUCAGGAGGAACACCAGUGGCGAAGGCGGUUCUCUGGGCAUUACCUGACGCUGAGGAGCGAAAGUGUGGGGAGCGAACAGG
rnacentral:rRNA from 1 species